UACAGAGGGUGCAAGCGUUAAUCGGAAUUACUGGGCGUAAAGCGCGCGUAGGUGGUUCGUUAAGUUGGAUGUGAAAGCCCCGGGCUCAACCUGGGAACUGCAUUCAAAACUGACGAGCUAGAGUAUGGUAGAGGGUGGUGGAAUUUCCUGUGUAGCGGUGAAAUGCGUAGAUAUAGGAAGGAACACCAGUGGCGAAGGCGACCACCUGGACUGAUACUGACACUGAGAGACGAAAGCUAGGGGAGCGAAUGGG
rnacentral:rRNA from 1 species